rnacentral:lncRNA from 1 species
GUUCAAGGUGUACAACAUGAUGAUUUAACAGAAGUAUCUGUUACAAAAUGCCUUAACUUUCAUAGGAACAUAAAUACACCUUUGCAGGAGAGAUGUUAAAUGUGUGCAAAUUUCUCCAAAAGCACAGGACUUCUGGUACUAUGGUGAAUAGAAGUGAUGAGAGGGGGCAUCCUUGUUCCUGAUCUUAGAAGAGAAAUACACUUUCAGGUUUUCAUUGAUGUUAUAUUCAUUAUGUGUGCUGAGGCUAUAUUCUGAAGGGGUUGGAGGAACUCCAAGAAGAUGUAAGAGACCUUAACACCACACUGACACUUGUGACCCAGUUUUCAUGACAUAUACCAUAACUCUGUCUUAUUCUGGUCCAUCAAACAAGUCGCCAAGUCCUGUCAAUGAAAUACCUGGAAGCAGGAAUCAUGAGAACCCCUUUUGGAGGAAUACCACAGAAAUGACAUUUCUAUUUGGAAACGUGACAUCAGUUUGUCCCAAUAAAAUAAUGAUGUUAACUUUAAUAAUUUUCUUAAAGUGGAUAUUGUUAAGUUUCUUCUGCAAUUUUGUUUCUCUGAUGUGGGCAGAUAUUUUAAAAGUAUGUAAAGAUAGUGUUUUCAUUCAUUAAACUAUCAUACACUAGUUUUAUCAUCUUUUGAUGGUUCUCAACUGUAGUAUUUGUUACCUAGUGUUCUACAGUAAGUAAAUGUUUUUUUCUCCCACAUUUACUGAUAUUUCAUGCAUUUGUUUAUAUCAAGGAUAUUGGGUUAUCAUUCAUUAGUGAAAUUAUUUACUUUAAUGAUCAAAUUUCCACAAAUUUAGCCAGUGGAAGUCCCUUCAAGGUAACUUUUAUGUUCUCUUUAUAUUUCUAAGUCAUUUCAGGAACAUUUUCCAAUUUUCACAUGCAAAAAUUCUAGGCUCUCUUGUACUUACCCUCCGUCAGCCAUGAAAUAAUCUGUUUUUUUUUUUUUGAGUCCUAGUUAUUUUUAGCAAAAUGUGGUAUUUAGAAAGCAAGUGCUAAAUAAAUUCAGUGGCACUUGUGUGUUAUUAACUCUAGCCUCUCCCAGCAAACAGAACUAGAAUAUACUGAAAACCAUGAUUUUAUACUAAUAUAUCACCUCUGAUUUUAAAUACAAUGGAGUAUAUACUAAUAUUCUGUGUUUUUAUAUUUGUAACUUGUUUCCAACUAUGAGAAAUCUGGCUUCCAUAAUCCUUAAUACAUAAUUGUUCAACAGAUAUUACAUAAAAAAUAGUUUCAGAAUUUUUGAACAUACUACAAUGAAAAGGAAAUCUACUCGAAGGAGUUCAGUUUUUUUCCAGCAUAUUUUUUUGGUUUGUGCAUUUUGCCUUAUAUAAUUUUAACUAAUAUUAAGCUUACAGUUGGAUACAUUUUACAAAUGUGUACAUCAGUGUAAAUUACACCCUUAUUAUCAAAACAUUUUCAUCAUCCUGCCCCUUUUGAGCAACAGCCAUGUACAUGUUUUAGAACUUCAUAUAAAUGGAUUCAUACAGUAUGUACUCUUUUGUAUCCAGGGUUUGUUUUUUUUUUCCCAGUAGGUAUUUGAAACUCAUCCAUUUUGCUUUGUUCAUUUUAUUGUUGAUUAGUAUUGAACAAAUACAUAAAGUAUGUUUAUUAUAGAAUAUUAGGAUUAUUUUGGUUUUCCUUUUGUGAAUAAAUUCCUGUGAACAUGCUUUUACAACUCUUUCUCUGAGGCCUAUAUUUUUUAUUUCUCUUUGAAAUGUAACUAGGAAUAGAAUUGUAUGGUCAACGUAAAUGUAUGUUUAAUUUAGUAAAAAAUUAAAAAAAAAAAUUUCUAAAGCCAAUUUAGUCUUUUACCCUCCUAUCAAUAAUAUAAACCAUUUCCUUUCUUCACUAAAAAUUGUUGCUGGCAGUCCUUCUAAUUGAUCCGUUUGCAUUUAUCUGACAGCUAAUGGUGUUCAGUGCCUUCCUACUAUGUGCUUAUUGGACAUUCAUUCAUACAUCUUUGUGAACUCUUUGUAGAAGUCUUUUUGCUUACCUUAAAUAAAUUGUUUUUCAUUACUGCCUUGUGGGUGUUCUUC